UGCCCUUGUAGUAUAAACCAAUACACCGGUCUUGUAAGCCGGAAAUGAAACUUUUCCUUCCAAGGACA
rnacentral:tRNA from 3 species